UACGUAGGGGGCGAGCGUUGUCCGGAUUUAUUGGGCGUAAAGAGCUCGUAGGCGGUUCGAUAAGUCGGACGUGAAAUCUCCACGCUCAACGUGGAGGGGCCGUUCGAUACUGUCGUGACUCGAGUCCGGUAGGGGAGUGUGGAAUUCCCGGUGUAGCGGUGAAAUGCGCAGAGAUCGGGAGGAACACCCGUAGCGAAGGCGGCACUCUGGGCUGGUACUGACGCUGAGGAGCGAAAGCGUGGGGAGCAAACAGG
rnacentral:rRNA from 1 species